AUGACAUAAAAAGUUAAAUCCAAUUCAAUCAUAUGGAACUCAAAGCUCCAAUAAAUCUUCAUUUGAGGUUCAAUUCAAGUAAAAACAGAAACAAGUACCUGAACGAUACCAAAUUCUGAAAUUAUUUAGCUUAUUGAGCAUAACACUAAUGUGAAAAUGGUGAAGUUUCACUAACGUCCAAAUUUAUGGACUCGGGAUUAACCGGAUAGAGAUCAUAAGCAGAUACAGUGGAAGAUCCAAUCCCUGUAUUGUCUGAUGAAAAAAUUGGUGCCUGGCUUGUGCUUGUACCGUCGCUUGACGUCUGCUGGUAAUGAUCCUUGAGGGGUUUAAGUCGCAUGUCAUCAGCAUAAAUGCCAGGAUCUGAUACCACUUCCUCAAUUCUUGUUUGUCCUUCAAGCAUACUCAGAGCGACUGACAUUGUAGGCCUUAUCAUUG
rnacentral:misc_RNA from 1 species